ACAACGUUCGGGCCAUCUCGCGUUGGUCUACCGAGCAAUAUCACCCGCUCGGUGGAAGGUCUUCCCUCUGUCAU
rnacentral:pre_miRNA from 1 species